UACGUAGGGUGCGAGCGUUAAUCGGAAUUACUGGGCGUAAAGGGUGCGCAGGCGGUUCUGUAAGUCAGAUGUGAAAUCCCCGGGCAUAACCUGGGAAUUGCGUUUGAAACUGCAGGGCUAGAGUGUGGCAGAGGGGGGUGGAAUUCCAUGUGCAGCAGUGAAAUGCGUAGAGAUAUGGAAGAACAUCGAUGGCGAAGGCAAACCCCUGGGUUAACACUGACGCUCAUGCACGAAAGCGUGGGGAGCAAACAGG
rnacentral:rRNA from 1 species